rnacentral:rRNA from 1 species
AUUGAACGCUAGCGGGAUGCUUUACACAUGCAAGUCGAACGAGUGGCGGACGGGUGAGUAAUAUAUCGGAACGUCCGCAGUAGCGGGGGAUCACUACUCGAAAGAGUGGCUAAUACCGCAUAAUAUUGGAUCGGCCGAUAUCGGAUUAGCUAGGUGGUGGGGUAAAGGCUCACCAAGGCCACGAUCCCUAGCUGGUUUGAGAGGACGACCAGCCACACUGGGACUGAGACACGGCCCAGACUCCUACGGGAGGCAGCAGUGGGGAAUUUUGGACAAUGGGGGAAACCCUGAUGCAGCCAUCCCGCGUGUAUGAGAAGGCCUUCGGGUUGUAAAGUACUUUUGGCAGGGAAGCGGUAUCCGCGGAAUAAGCACCGGCUAACUACGUGCCAGCAGCCGCGGUAAUAC